CGCAUGCACAAGGGCGGCGCCUGAACGCGUUCAGUGCGCUCUUUCCUGGCCAUACAUAUCUCACAGCCCUACCAGCUCGAACUGUCGUUGCUCCCUGUAAAGCAGUAAUGUGCGUGCGGUGGGGCAGUGAAAUUCACUUUUCCGAAAGGAGUAUGAUCAGUUCACCAGCAGCAGCUGCAGUGCUAACGCGCAAGUACGGUGGCUAAUCUUUUAUGUAAUAGUUACACACAAAGCUAAGGUGCGAGACCGAGCAGUGAUUAAGCAUUGCUCUGUAUUUCGUUUUCGCACACAAGCACCUGCUGCCCCUUCCUGGAGCGCGCUCGCUCGAUCGCCCACUCGAGCGGCCGGCUCGGUGAUGACGAUGUUCAGCCCAAUAGCGCCGUGCAACCCGUAUAGUAAUAUUAUGUUGAAAUGAGAUUAGCCCACGGACGCGCUGUGCUUAUUGUAUUUGCAAUGCUGUUCACCGCCGAUUCACUAACCGUCACAGCGAAUCUGCCUUGCCGUUUGGAAUAUGAUGCGAAGGCGGGCUCCGAGCAGCAGUAGAGUACGUCGUUAUGGUUAAAAAUAUUAUGCUGCUGAGGGUAGUAAGCAGAGGUCGGCAAAACCUGAAUAACUGUCACGGGUACUGGUGCCAGGGUCGAAUAACUGUAUGGAAAUUUUUUUGGUAAAAACCGAGGAAAGAGUGUCUGCGGGCCGAUGUACCGUUUACCGCCUUGUAAAAUGGAAGGUUUGGUAACCUAAUGAUGAAGUUUAUAGCUUCAAAACUGCGCGAACCUGCCUUUUGGGGGGAAUUUCUGCACCCUGCCGUACGGCUGCCGUACCCGUGAUGAAGAUAAUAGGCAGGGUCUCGAAAUAUGUUUCCUAUAGAUGAAUCGUAUACAUAGCCAAUCUAUAUGUAUACAGCAUGGCCCAUAGGCCUGUAGGUUAUCAUGUGUAGACGUUGUGUAAAGCUGUCGAGUCUAAUAUGUUCGUUGUAUGCAGGCCUUUCUGUAGACCUCUCGUGUAUACAGCGUUAGGGCCGUGACUGUACUUGCGACCGCGAAACACUUUGACCUCUCCAGCGAAACUUCGUAAUCCUGAAACUGUCGGAACCUGUCGGAAGCUCUCGGAACCCUUAAAAUGCUGUAAUUUAUGACGUUUAUGCAUUUCACACGUUUUCUAUGGGCUAUGGGCCCUUCAACGCACAUGCAGAGCGCUCUCGGGCACCUCUAAACACUCGAUUGCUACCCGCCUAAGGUGUACAACUGUAUUCCCUCCGAUCUCAGGUGCCCUUUUUGCGCCAGUUGCGUUUCUAACACUGGCCCUUAAUUAUAAACAUUGUCCCAGACAUUCCACACAAAGGAAAAAAUGAAACUUUUAAAACUUUCACAGGCUUAAGGACCAAGCGCAAGCUUUGAAGAUACUAAAUAGGUGCCGCUUACGGCGCUAGUCGUACUGGGCUGGAACAAGUUUCCGGCCGGAGCCGGCGUAGCGGUGCCCCCAGACCUAGACCUCUUAGGGUCCGAAAGCACGGAAACUAGUUUCGCAACGUUACCCUUCUUCACGGACAUUCAGUUCCAUUAGCCAGCUAGCAUCCUCUAGUUAGGGUAAGAUAACUGCCGCUCCACCCCACUUAGGGUGUAUUUCCAGUGCGUAUUAAGGCCAGGGAUUAAGGUCCCGCUAUUCCCGGCUAAUCCCCGGCUAAUCCCUGGCAAUUCUUAAGGCCUGGGAUUAGCGCGGGGAUUAAGGCCGUACAAAGGGCGAUGCACAUUUCUUGAUGCGAUCUCGAAGCUAAAAUUACCAGUUCUGAAUUGCUUUGGGCAUUAGGCAUCGUAUGAGUAUAAAAUAUGGGCAGGAAGCGCACUCUUCUCGCCGUUGUGGCCACCGUUGAGGCCUGACAUUGAAGUAGCACCUUUCGCGCAAACCAAAUCAGAUAUUGCUUACUUGAGGUCAUCCAUAUGGAAUUACCUAGAAAUUAAAGUAAGAUAUAACGCCAUUAACGCUAAUCCAGAUACGGAAAGUUACUACCUGGGUGGGGCCAGGUAAUAACUUUGUUGUCACAAGUUGCCAGGUAAAUACAUGGACAUCAAGUUCAAUUUAUGUUCUUUCCUAUCUCUUGCUAACUCCUGCUAGUCCUCUGAAUAGAGAGCACGGUGUCCUGAGGAAUUCCUUAAUCCCAGUGGGAUUUCCACUGCUGGGAUUAGCACAGGAAUUAACGCUAAUCCCUGGCCUUAAUCCGCACUGGAAAU
rnacentral:lncRNA from 1 species